rnacentral:ribozyme from 1 species
GGUCCAGCAACUCGUAUCCCUACCUCCUCGCGGUACUGGCCGGGGUACGAGCAACCCUAUGGAAGAUCAGGUAACCAACACCGGUGGGAACUUUGGUCGUAUGCUGACAGGGAAG